rnacentral:rRNA from 1 species
UACGUAGGCAGCGAGCGUUGUUCGGAGUUACUGGGCGUAAAGGGUGUGUAGGCGGUUGUUUAAGUUUGGGGUGAAAUCUCCCGGCUCAACUGGGAGGGUGCGCCGAAUACUGAAUGACUUCGAGUGCGGGAGAGGAGAGUGGAAUUCCUGGUGUAGCGGUGAAAUGCGUAGAUAUCAGGAAGAACACCCGUGGCGAAGGCGGCUCUCUGGUACGUGACUGACGCUGAGACGCGAAAGCGUGGGGAGCAAACAGG